GCUCGGGUGGUGGAAUUGGUAGACACGCCGGACUUAAAAUCCUGUGCUCGUAAGGGCGUGCGGGUUCAAGUCCCGCCCCGAGUA
rnacentral:tRNA from 1 species